rnacentral:rRNA from 1 species
CCUACGGGCGGCAGCAGUAGGGAAUAUUGCUCAAUGGGGGAAACCCUGAAGCAGCAACGCCGCGUGGAGGAUGAAGGUCUUCGGAUUGUAAACCCCUUUUGUUAGAGAAGAAAAUGACGGUAUCUAACGAAUAAGCACCGGCGAACUCCGUGCCAGCAGCCGCGGUAAUACGGAGGGUGCAAGCGUUACUCGGAAUCACUGGGCGUAAAGAGCGCGUAGGCGGGAUAGCAAGUCAGAUGUGAAAUCCUAUGGCUUAACCAUAGAACUGCAUUUGAAACUGUUAUUCUAGAGUAUGGGAGAGGUAGGUGGAAUUCUUGGUGUAGGGGUGAAAUCCGUAGAGAUCAAGAGGAAUACUCAUUGCGAAGGCGACCUGCUGGAACAUAACUGACGCUGAUGCGCGAAAGCGUGGGGAGCAAACAGGAUUAGAUACCCUAGUAGUC